AUGGCGCAGGCGAUCGAGGCUCAGAGGGAGGGUGCGGAGGUGUACCACGGCGCGGUGCUGUGCGCGGAGAAGGCGUUGGAGCUGCUGGCCGAGACCAACAUGCCGCUGGGCCUGCUGCCGCUGGCGGACAUCGAGGAGGUCGGCUACAACCGCGCCACCGGCUUCGUCUGGCUGCGCCAGAAGAAGGCGCUCACGCACACCUUCAAGCAGAUCGGGAGGCAGGUCUCGUACGCCACUGAGGUGACGGCCUUCGUCGAGGACCGCAAGAUGAAGCGCAUGACCGGGGUCAAGAGCAAGGAGCUCCUCAUCUGGAUCACCCUCUGCGACAUGUACAUCGACAAGGGCGACCCCUCCAAGAUCACCUUCAAGACCCCCACCGGGGCUGGGGAGGACCUUCCCUGUCUCCGCCUUCGGGAAAGAGGACUGCAAGGAGGCCGCGGUGGCCAAAUAGGUGUGGACAGACGCGAUACUCUACAAAGUUGGAUGAAGACUGAAGAGUGCUCAAGUUCAAGUUCAAUUGUUAACUACCUUUGUCUGGGUUUAUUAGCCCUAUUGUAUUUUUGGCCCUAUUGUAUUUUUGGUCUACCUUUGACCCUUGAUUUAAUUACCAAAAAAUAA
rnacentral:rRNA from 1 species